UACGAAGGGGGCUAGCGUUGCUCGGAAUUACUGGGCGUAAAGCGCACGUAGGCGGCUUUCUAAGUCAGGGGUGAAAUCCUGGAGCUCAACUCCAGAACUGCCUUUGAUACUGAAGAUCUUGAGUCCGGGAGAGGUGAGUGGAACUGCGAGUGUAGAGGUGAAAUUCGUAGAUAUUCGCAAGAACACCAGUGGCGAAGGCGGCUCACUGGCCCGGUACUGACGCUGAGGUGCGAAAGCGUGGGGAGCAAACAGG
rnacentral:rRNA from 1 species